CAGGGUUUUUGUCACACACACAGAGCACAGAUUUUUUUGAUUAUGUAGAUUUCUUUUCCUACUGCAGUUUCAUAUGCAAAGCAUGCAUCAGCCACAUCCAUGCUAUCUCCUAAAGCAGUCAUUCUGAAACCCAAUCUGGGGACAGUGCAGACUAAAUAAAAUUUCAUUUUGAUUUGGCCUCCCGCUGCGAACGGGACUGCUUUGUCUCAGUCGACAGAACCAGCAAGCCAGAAAGGUGUGGAAUACUAAAAUACUGACUGAAAGGAGAAUUGUACAGGCGCUGCUGUGAUGCUCCAGAGAUUUCACUGGAAGAUUUGUCAUGCUGAUUAUAUUGUAAAUUUGAAGAUGCAUUUAACAGCUUUGAAGGACCUUAGCUUCCAUGGUCCUUUUGAGCCGCUUUGGCAGAAAAGCAAUCGCCCAUUUUAGAGAAGGGGAGAAAUAGAGAAUAAACACUCUUCUCCAAUAGGACUGAACGGUUUUGCCAUCUUGGUAUGUUUUAUAAAAUGCACUGUGGUGUUUUCCCGAAGAGCUGCUAAAUAUGGCUCUGCUUUAAACAAUGACCUUCACUGGGAGUCAUCUCAUGAGAGACUGUGUUGUGUCAAAUGUUCUUCUUACACUUGUCCCCCCUUUGGGAGAAUGUACUAGCAAUCAGGGACAACCUGCUGUGAUAUUCUCAGAAGAAGCUUUAGAUAAGAUGGCGAAGCACCAGGGGACUGACAGGUGGUGGGAACUCAGUUUUCAAGCCCAAAUUUAUCCUUGAAAUUGUUAUUGCCCUUCAUCAAUUCAUAGGGUGCUAUAAAGGAAAGAAGUUUUUCCCUGGCUCACAUAUUGGCAUAUCAUUAAUCUAAAUCAAAUUACAGCAAACUGGUAAAGAUGGAGAUAGAGUAAAUGACAAAUAAAUUGCUUAAGAGAAGAGCACAAAGAAAAGUUCACUCUGACUCUGGGGUUCUGCCUAAGUAAUUCCACAUAGGAUAUAGAUUAGCAGAUGAAAAAUACCAAUUAGCUUCAUAGGGACCUCACCCCACCCAUCCAGAGCAAAAACAAAAAAAGUCAUGUAACUUUGUAGAGGGUCAAAAAUUAACUUUUGCCAAUCCAUAAUGUUGUGGCUAUUCUAGAGUUCUGAGGGGAGUGGUGUUCCAGGGGUACUUCCAGAUGCCAUUUCUGAAAUGUAAUGGCUGAGGUCUUUGCCAUUACAAUAAAUUAUCCUUUCACCGCAAAGUCUCUCAGUUCACUAUUUUGCACCUGUUAGCCAAGCGCUGUGGGCGAGAAGAGUCACCAAGAGUGUUAGUCAUUUGUUGAUAGACUCCCUACUUACUACAUACAACAGAUUGAAGAACAAAAUGAAAGUUAGUUAAAGAAGACGUUGAAGAAACAAUAGUGUGAAAACAGCAUGAGAUGUCAUUUGGUAAAUAUGCCACAGCCUCGCAUAAGGAAGAGGAAAAUGGCAGUGUGGGCCAUGACUGGCAGGUCUGGAUCCAUAGACUGUGAUUUCCAGGAUCACCCAACAAACCAGAAAUCAAAGAAUCCUUUAUCACUGGAUCUCAGCCAGGUGCCACGUUGCAGGGGACAUAAGGAAGAUUAUGAUGGGACUCUCCAAGACUAAGGAUGAAGACGUAUGUCCAGCUAGAAUCAUUUGUCCUUAAACCAGGUUAAGUUGCCGUCCAUGCCAAAUGAGUAUUCAGGACAGAGGUCAUGUACAGGUACGCUAGUACUCAGAAUGCUGGUGAUGUGACCUCAAAAAAGGAGGUGCGGCUGUGAAGACAAGAUGCUGUCUAUAAAGGCCUGCGUGACCUGCCAAAGGCUAUCUUUUAUAGCACCAGAGAGGAGCAGUUUUUUAGCUUUUGUUCACUGCCCAAAUGUUUUGGGAGAAAUCUGUGCUAGAGUGGCCAAAAAGGAAUAGAACCUACUCGCGUGUACAUUCGUUAGGUUAUAUUAUCUGAAAAACUAAGCAUAUUAUGUUAUAGAAUUAUCACCUCUAGUGAAGCCCAGCAAAGAAACUUCGACUCCUACACCAAGAAUGGAAAAGAACGACUCUGAGAAGGGACAGCUUCAUCUACUUUUGCACUCAGGCUGGAGUGACUCUGCCCUGUUUUCUCUCCUCAGUUCUUCAGGCUCCUUAGCAGCCGUGGAGGAACGCCUCAAGUGGUCUCACAAGUCCUGGACUCCGCUUCAGUGAAAAAUUGGAGAGAAGCUGCUUUUGGGUUGUUGUUUGAACUUUCCACGAAGAGAGUUCGGAUACAGCAUUUAUGUGUGUUAAAAAUGUUUGCAGCAUUUGCCCACUUACGAAUGUAUGCAUUCUCUCUACAUCUUUCUACAUCUAUUGCACGUCUUCCCCAUAGCAGGAACCAUUAAGACUCGGGGGGGGGCGGGGCGGGGCACGAAGUACGUAAGUCUUGGCUCUCUGCUCUGGGAGCACUUGCCAGAACAGAGGGACAGACGGGCAAGCGUACAAUUGAAAUACAAGGAGAUCAUGUUUGUAAUCGAGAUAUUAAGUGACUGCUAUGAGAGGACUGCUCAAUGAACCACCAGGGAGCUCCCUGGCGGUCAGGUCACGCCUCAGUGGAAUGUGAUAUUUGAGCUUCAGGUACUCUACGGUUUACAUACAGCUCGACCCCACCAAAUCUCAUGUUGAUAUGUGGUCCCCGUGUGCUGGUGGGGAAGGUGGGGCCCGGUGGGAAAUGUUUGGGUCAUUGACGGGGAGUUCCUUUAUGAAUGGCCUGGAAUGGGUCUCACGGUAGUGAGUUCUGCUCUCCUUAGACUGGAUUACUUCUCGUGAGAAUAAGCUGAUUCCUCUGAGAGGGGGCUGUUAUAAAGCGAGGACCCCCUCGGAUUUUGCCCUUUCUUUGUUGACCUUCGUCCAUGCUACGACCCAGCACAAAAGCCCCCACUGGAAGCUGAGCAGAUGCUGGCACCAUGUCCCAUGAACUUCCCGCCCCGUGGAACCGUGAGCUACAUACAGAAAGCUCUCUUCUUUAGGAAUUACUCAGUCUCGGCCGGGCGCGGUGGCUCACGCCUGUAAUCCCAGCACUCUGGGAGGCCAAGACGGGUGGAUCACGAGGU